rnacentral:rRNA from 1 species
UACGAAGGGGGCAAGCGUUGUUCGGAAUUACUGGGCGUAAAGGGCGCGCAGGCGGCUCGACAAGUCAGAUGUGAAAGCCCCGGGCUCAACCUGGGAACGGCAUUUGGGACUGUCGGGCUAGAGUUCGGGAGAGGUGGGUGGAAUUCCCAGUGUAGAGGUGAAAUGCGUAGAUAUCAGGAGGAACACCUGUGGCGAAAGCGGCUCACUGGACCAUAACUGACGCUGAUGCACGAAAGCUAGGGGAGCAAACAGG